rnacentral:snRNA from 1 species
GAGCUCGCUUCCGCAGCACAUAUACUAAAAUUGGAACAAUACAGAGAUUAGCAUGGCCCCUGGGCAAGGAUGACAUGCAAAUUCAUGAAGCAUUCCAUGUUUAA